GUUGUACUCCCUGCGUCCGGAAAUACUUGUCGCACAAAUGGAUAAAAAUGGAUGCAUCUAAAACUAAAAUAUGACUAGAUACAUCCAUUCCUCCGACAAGUAUUUUCGGACGGAGGGAGUAAUGU
rnacentral:pre_miRNA from 1 species